UAGAAAAGAGGGGAAAAAACAGUUAAUGUUUGUGCCAGCCUCAUAAAAGGCCAAAACCACAGCAAAACUAUGGCAUGUCAGUUAACGGCAAAGCUGAAACCUGAUUUUGAGCGCACAAAGGUGGUGUCCUUUUUCUGAAGGCGUCUCCAUUCCUUUGAGAGGAAACUUAAUUUGAAUUCUUAGAAGUGAUUUGUGGUGUUGCGUCACUGCGAUUUUGUGUUGUUAACUUAGUUUGUUUCCAGUUCUUUUGUGUGUGUGUGUAGAGCAAAAGUGAUUUAUUCACUUGUAUGCCAGUGGUAUAUCGGGUGCACAGCUAGUGAAUUGAGAGCACAGGCACAGACACAGGCAAGCACGUGAUGUGCCUCAGCACAGAUAAAAAUAAGAUAUCCCCAGGCAUCUUUGCUCCAGAGCACAACAGAAGAAGUGUCACGGCAAUGAAGACUGCUUAUCGAUCAAAUGAAACAAGCCAAAAGAAAACAAGCUGUGUUUCUGCAACAAAUAAGCUUACGUAUUUUGUAUGCUCAUUACCAAUCAAAGAUCCAAAGCAAAACUUCAAUUGGAACAUGAUGUUAUGGUCAAAUGAGACCAAAACCAGUCACACACACCAGAAGUGUCGUCAGCAUCAGAAGAUGGACACUUAAAUAGAGAAUGACUUCUACUAAACCUACAGUUACUGUAAGUCUUACAUUCAAUUCCCAGUUGUAUAAAAGAGUCGUUAGUCAUUGUAAAAUGAAAAAUUGUAUCAAUUUUUCAAUAGAUAAAGGCUCCAAAGAAGUACAUGCCAUGUGAUGUACAAUGCAAAAGCAAUGGAAAUACUGGAUUUAAUGUAGUAGGGCAGAUUUGUAAGUCUGCAUUUUUUUCCUGAACACUAGUUGAACAGCAAGAUUGAUUGAAGAAGCAGUUACUAUUUUCCUGCAAAAACAUCUUUCACCACAUUAUGAAAGGGCUUAGUCAACAAUGUAUAUUAGCAUUCAUUUCAAGGACAUAUUUUCAUUUGGUAAAAAGGACAAAAAGGAGUUUUCUUCACACAAUCUGUCCACUGUGCUUUGAAUUCCACAUUCAAUGGGAGGCCUCCCACUUACUGCAGAUGCACAAUGACAGGCAUUCUCUGGCUUAUAGGUAAGAGUCUUCACACCCCAAAUGAGAGCUCUGCUGGUUAAAAAAAGCAUUUGUCACUUUACAGACGGUAGCAACAGGACUGAAGGAUCAUUUACGUCAUUCAGAGAGGCGACCUGUGGCUAAGUAAUAAAGCCAUGAUUUCCAUGAUGUAAACAUGAGCUCAGGUCACAGCUUGUCGCAGGACGCAUUCCAGGGAGGGCAAAGGUCACGUGGGCGGGACCGGUCGCUGCCAAAUGAAGGCAUGUUACUGCGGAAGCGGAGACUCCCUCCCACCGAAGAACCAUCUGUCAAUUACCAUGAGCCAUUAACUCAUUUGCAAAUCAAUAAUCCAGGACCAGUGUGUCAAAAUAAAAUCACAACGAAGACCAAGGAUUCAAUUUUUAGCUCAUGGCUCUCCCUUCCUUGUGCACUCCCCCCCCGCCCCUGGCGCUUUCCCGCCUGUAAUCUCUGGGUGUGCAAUUAAAUAAGGCAAUGCGUGUACAAUAUAGUGAAAUGUAAAAAUAAAUGAAAACCAUACAAUGUAAA